rnacentral:rRNA from 1 species
UAAGAGGUAUUGCCUGCCCGGUGACUAAGUUUAACGGCCGCGGUAUAUUGACCGUGCGAAGGUAGCGCAAUCACUUGUCUUUUAAAUGGAGACCCGUAUGAAUGGCACGACGAGGGCUUAACUGUCUCCUCUUUUUAGUCAAUGAAAUUGAUCUCUCCGUGCAGAAGCGGGGAUAAAACCAUAAGACGAGAAGACCCUAUGGAGCUUUAGACACUAAAGCAGACCACGUCAAUACCCUCAGCAAAAUGAACCAAACAAAAUGUUUCCUGCCCUACUGUCUUCGGUUGGGGCGACCGCGGGGAAACAACUAACCCCCACGUGGAAUGGGCCCACUAUUCCCUAAACCAAGAGCGACAGCUCUAAGUGACAGACCCUCUGACCUUUAGAUCCGGCCAUACCGAUCAACGGACCAAGUUACCCUAGGGAUAACAGCGCAAUCCCCUUCUAGAGACCCUAUCGCCAAGGGGGUUUACGACCUCGAUGUUGGAUCAGGACAUCCUAAUGGUGCAGCCGCUAUUAAGGGCUCGU